rnacentral:rRNA from 1 species
GACGAACGCUGGCGGCGUGCUUAACACGUGCAAGUCGAACGGUAAGGCCCUUCGGGGUACACGAGUGGCGAACGGGUGAGUAACACGUGGGUGAUCUGCCCUGCAAUUCGGGAUAAGCCUGGGAAACUGGGUCUAAUACCGGAUAGACCACUGCCUGCAUGGGUGGUGGUGGAAAGCUUUUGCGGUGUGGGAUGGGCCGGCGGCCUAUCAGCUUGGUGGUGGGGUGAUGGCCUACCAAGGCGACGACGGGUAGCCGGCCUGAGAGGGGGACCGGCCACACUGGGACAGAUCUCCGGCCCAGACGCCUGCGGGAGGCAGCGGGGGGGAAGAGUGCAGAAGGGGCGCAAGCCUGAUGCAGCGACGCCGCGUGAGGGAUGACGGCCUUCGGGUUGGAAGCCUCGUUCAGCACCGACUCAGCGCAAGUGACGGUAGGUGCCGAAGAAGGACCGGCCAACUACGUGCCAGCCGCCCCAGUAA